ACUACCAAUUUUUGAGUUCGCCUAAGCGAACUGCGAUUUUGAGUAACUUUGAUUAAGUGAAAUUUGUAGAAAAAACUCAUAUGAUGGAUCAAUGCACCAUAUCUAUGUUUGAAUGAAAUGUUUCGAAUUUUCGCUGCUCGAGAGGUUAUUGUUUACCUAAUUUUGGAUGAAAAUUUUUAACCUGCCAGUGCUGUCAAGAAAGAAACAGUUGUGAAAUCAACAGUGUUUUUUUUCUACGAGUGCUUAAAAUUCGGGUUUCUAGUGAAAGAAGGUUUGGAGUUGUAUUUUGUUUGCUUUGAAAUAUUCAAAAUGAAUAAAAUAUCCUCAUCGAUUAGCGAAAGACUUCCUUCCGAAAGCAAAACCACCCGCACAGAAAGUGGUAUCGCCUGCGGGGCCACUGAACCAGAGAAUAAACUACUGGUGUGCGCCAGAGUGGCACGGGCCAGAUUUUGGUUUUCCGGAAAUUUACAGCGUUGAAGGUCCCACCAAGAAAACGAACGGACACACCUCAAGAUCGAUUGUGUGAUAAGCAACUUUCGGUUGUUGGAGGGAAUAUAAACAAUGUUAUAAACAUUA